rnacentral:ncRNA from 2 species
ACGCGCGCUCCGGGGUCGGUGGAAAUCCGAGCCGGCGGUGAUAGUCCGCGACCCGUCCAUCCUGUGAUGGCCGGUUGACCUGGUGGAAUUCCAGGACCGACGGUGAAAGUCCGGAUGGGAGGACGCGCGC